AUCCAAUCAAUAUGAAAUGUCACAUAUCUUCAGGGUUAAUCAUUCAUACUGUUUUCCAUGAUGAAAUCAGAAAGAUAGCUGUGUAUGAAUAAUGGCAAAAGACGUAAGCCCAUAUCAUGUUUGUUCUUUUCCUUGUAGUCCACUUUCCAGAAGACCCAAUGUUCUGCAUCAGUUAAGAGCUGGAUUUAUUUGCCAAAGGAAGAAACCAUUCUGAAAUUUCUAUGGAAGAUUAAAAUGUCAAGCCACAGUGCUGAUUAAUAUCGGUUGGAGUACUGAUUGGUGUUUCACAGUUGGGUUUCCUCAGUGCCACACUGAUGUAACUAAAACCACAAGACGGCCUAAGUCAGCACUGGUGUGCUGCAAGGAAAGCAUGUCCCUCUCACUGAAGAAGGCUGCACCAGAUCAUGAAAUCCCAGGAUGAUGUGACCUCCGAUUUAGUUCACCAAUGAGGAAGCCCAGCAAUGAAGCAUUUAUCUAAUUAUUCUUAAUCAAUAAAACCUCAGGAAUUAGA